GACAGAGGGUGCGAACGUUGUUCGGAAUUACUGGGCGUAAAGCGCAUGUAGGCGGCAACGCAAGUCGGGCGUGAAAUCCCACGGCUCAACCGUGGAAGUGCACUCGAAACUGCGUAGCUAGAAUCCUGGAGAGGAAGGUGGAAUGCUUGGUGUAGAGGUGAAAUUCGUAGAUAUCAAGCGGAACACCGGUGGCGAAGGCGGCCUUCUGGACAGUGACUGACGCUGAGAUGCGAAAGCGUGGGGAGCAACAGG
rnacentral:rRNA from 1 species